UGGGGAAUAUUGCGCAAUGGGGGGAACCCUGACGCAGCCAUGCCGCGUGAAUGAAGAAGGCCUUCGGGUUGUAAAGUUCUUUCGGUAUUGAGGAAGGUUGAUGUGAUAAUAGCACAUCAAAUUGACGUUAAAUACAGAAGAAGCACCGGCUAACUCCGUGCCAGCAGCCGCGGUAAUACGGAGGGUGCGAGCGUUAAUCGGAAUAACUGGGCGUAAAGGGCACGCAGGCGGUUAUUUAAGUGAGGUGUGAAAGCCCUGGGCUUAACCUAGGAAUUGCAUUUCAGACUGGGUAACUAGAGUACUUUAGGGAGGGGUAGAAUUCCACGUGUAGCGGUGAAAUGCGUAGAGAUGUGGAGGAAUACCGAAGGCGAAGGCAGCCCCUUGGGAAUGUACUGACGCUCAUGUGCGAAAGCGUGGGGAGCAAACAGGAUUAGAUACCCUGGUAGUCCACGCUGUAAACGCUGUCGAUUUGGGGGUUGGGGUUUAACUUUGGCGCCCGUAGCUAACGUGAUAAGUCGACCGCCUGGGGAGUACGGCCGCAAGGUUA
rnacentral:rRNA from 1 species